rnacentral:rRNA from 1 species
CAGUAGCCGCGGGAAUACGUAGGGUGCAAGCGUUAAUCGGAAUUACUGGGCGUAAAGGGAGCGCAGGCGGACAUAUAAGUCCGUCUUAAAAGUGCGGGGCUCAACCCCGUGAGGGGAUGGAAACUGUAUGCCUUGAGUGCAGGAGAGGAAAGCGGAAUUCCCAGUGUAGCGGUGAAAUGCGUAGAUAUAUGGAGGAACACCGGUGGCGAAAGCGGCUCUCUGGCUUGCAACUGACGCUGAGGCUCGAAAGCGUGGGGAGCAAACAGGAUUAGAGACCCCAGUAGUCCCUGUCUCUUAUACA